AGUUCAGGGAUGAGGUGAAGAAGAUUAUGUUGGCCAUCGCUUUUUAGCCACCACCUCUCAUCCGACCCCAACGCCAUCAAAGCCUCCAGCAAGCCUUUUUCUUCUUCUUCAUCAAUCUCUCUGGGUUGCUCGACCAGGAAGUCACCAGAUACUGACAGAAGAUGGAGAAACUGGGACAAUGUGUCUAGCAUACCUACUGAUGUCAAAGAAGUGAAAACCCGGACAAGGUGUCUAGCAUUCCUACCGACAUUAAAAGACCAGGUGAACCUGGUAAUGUAGUAUUUAACCUGUAUUCAAGUGGCAACUUUGGUGGUUUAGAUUCCCCUUUCUACUCUGAUUUCGUGGUGAAUUCAGAUGAGUCUGAACUCAUUAACGUCAGUGUAGGUGCUAGGACAGAGUCUAUAAUAGAACAGCCUUUCAAAAUGGACUGAAAAUGUUGGAAAUAAUGGAGGGAUCAGCUCCGAUAUCAGAUGUCAAAGAGUACAAAUGUUGCUGUUGUGGUGGGAGAUAAUGGAGGGUUCAAUUGUGGUUGGUUUAGUGAGACGGUUGAGAAAUGUCUGCGAAAGAUACUCGCGAUAGGCCUACAAUGGGGCAUAUGCUGUGGGACUUGGUUUAGUGACCAUCCACAUCACUAUUCACUUGACAAGCUCUUACACUUGGCUUGAGCUUACAUGAACGUGUAUCAUAGUUUGCAUGAUUUGUAAACGACAACAAUGUGGUGUCAAAGCUUGACGCGGUGAAUACGCAUGUGCUUGGUGUGAUAAUACAAACAUUCUUCCCAUAACUUAUUACUUUAUUAGCA